GGAGAGAGAGGAAAGUGCAGAGAGAGAGAGGGAGUGUAGAGAGGCGCGGCGGCGGCUGCACUCCUCGCGGUAGAGGUAGGACGGAAAAAGGAGGAAGCAGGAGGGAAAGACGUCGCGUUCGGUGCUGGAGAGGACACGCGGAGACAAAAGGAGGGGCAGCCCUGGUCCGUCUCCUCCUCGUCACGCUCGGUGCCUCUACUGCUCCACCAGCUCAACGGACACCGCGGUAGCGGCAUGGAGUGCCGGGUCGACCUCCACACAGCCGGCGUCUCUGCCGUCUCCAGAGUAAGCGAGUGAGAGAGCGGCGGUAUCCUCCUCACACGCGUCCCCCUCACCGGCCAGUUCUAGACUUCUGCCGCCCCGCCGUUCGUCUCGAGGAAAACGACUCGCGGCUCCCCAGCUUCCCACGAGGCCUAGGCCUAGGCCCGCUCCACCGCCGGUACUUGCUCGAGCUCGAGCUCGGGCUCGCACACGGAGGAUGAGGGGUACCAGAGCGAUGGCGAGGAGGGGGAACCCGAGACAAGCACCUCUCGUCGCCGGCUACACCUGUUCCUCCAUGUGUUGCUCGGCGGCUACUACCCGUGCGACCCUACUCGAGAGACCGUCUUUGUGCGUGGUGCGGGCAGGUGGAGAGGUGGUGGUACGCGGUCUCCCUCUCCCUCUCGGGUCCGGGACUCGCACCCAAGACUAAAACCCAGUUCAAACGAACUUCCAAUCACGCUCCUCGUGCAUAGGUCUUCAAAGAGACGUGUAUUCUGCGAAUCGUUACCCACACCCUUAUCGAGUCAACCGAUUAGGUACAUAUGAGAAACAAAUAGUAGUUCAAAUCAUGAAGAUACCUCAGCUUGCUUUAACUACAGAGUUCUAGUUAAUCGUACCGGAACCUCAUUUAGCCGACCAUACGUUCAUACUGUUCACCUACUGUGAAAGUUGUAAAAAAAGAGGGCUGGUGUACACGAACAACCAGGUCAAGAUUUUUAAACGACGUUCCAAAGAUAUUAUGUCUAAUUUCUUCUUAGUCUAGUACAUAUAUUAAACGAGCGACUGAUGGUUUAUGACCUUGAAGACUCUUGGGAGAGGUUGGGUAUAAACGUUUAUUUUUCGAACGCCGAACCCUCGUAGAGUCUUAAAAAUAGAGCUGGAACGUCAUUGACUCAGAGAUGGCCGUGUUUUACGUUAACUUAUAGAGUUUCAUUACCUCGUAAACUAGUCUUACUUCUCAAUUGUCAGGAUCCAUUUCCUUGACUCACUCGUGAAGGUACAGUGGGGCUUACGAUCGCCAAGGACUUACUCCCCAUGCUCACACAAUCGCUCCAUUUUCCGACUUCACUGUUGUGGAGACCCUGACUAGGGGUCACGUGUUUUGAAGGUACCACCACACACGUUAAGGUUCCGGGUGAACUCGAUGAGAACUCUUAAAGGUGGCGUGGAUUUUUUGUUCUCAAAGUUAACAUAUUUCUUUAGGUACACACUGUCUUGGAAAUGUGCUCCUCCCGUUGUCGCAGCUGUACCGUUAGCUCAGUGAGGACUUACGCCUCUUCGUCACAACGGACCGACCGCUACACCGGUCGUGAUCCUUCCUGUAGCAGCUCGAGAGGAAGUUCCUACCGCGGACCUUCUGCGAAUUGACGGUCUAGCAACAGGAGAGAUUCUCCUCCUCCCGGUCGAGUUUCUUACCGCAGUGGCCCGUCCUGCCGUCGCCGCACGGGCACAAGCGCCUCAUGUUGGAGCUGCUCGAGGCGCGGAGGUGGCUGCCGAAGCGUUGCCUGGUGUAGUAGAAGCUCGUGACGCUCUUCCUCGGAUUGCGGUAGAUGGUGCCCGGGAGAAGUCGAGACCGUGGUGGCAGCGGUAGUUCGAGAAGAUGGCGAGGCGGACCGGACUGCGUGCGGUUAAGUACCAAGCACGGGGAACGAAACCAAACAAAACGAAGCCCCCCCACCUAGCAGUGGAGCAUACGUGGUCACAAGCUGACCGGAGACGGCGCCUCAGACUUGACUUAAACCGACAGUAUAAAAAAACCUACGUGUUCUCCUCCGAUCCCGUCAACCCGACGACGUCUCGCAAGCGAACAGGUUGGAGUAGUCUACUACGAUGUUCCCACCGCUCGCCGACGAGCAACGAUUCAAGUACUGCGUACUAUGGAACCGUCGACACUAAGUAUCACACCAAUCCCAAAAAAUUCAAAUGAUCGAGGAAGUAACUACUACCCAGCAACCACCACGAAAAGACGGCUCUUAAUUUUUUUAUUGAAUAAGGUACAAAGUACGCCAAAUACGUAGAGAAAGGAUAAAGAGACAAAGUCUAUUACCAGUACAAAUGUGAGCUCACACACUAAACGCCUGCCCCCCACGUCAGAUAGACUUAUAAGUUAAGUACGAAACUAGUACUCAUAUCAUGUAAGUUUUAAUCGUUUUCGUUAUUACGUAUCGUCGUCACAGUUAGAACAUCCGAUACUUUGACGUACAAACAACAACGCCAUACCUUUAAAUGGUACGACGCCGUUACCCCCGUUUGAGAAUGCCACUCCAAAAAAACACAUGGAUUUCAGGCUUCUCUUUCCAUCCCAUGGACUCCACUCAGAAUACGGGAAGGUACAAAAGUAAAAAACACGCAGAACUUAAAACAUAAAUUAGUUACACUUAACAAGGUAUCGUUAACGGGACAAAACUAAUGACACUAGCAAUAAAUGACGAAAACUACCAGUGAUGUUUAGAGCGGGAUAAAUCCGUCCACGUAGUGAACCAAACUAUGUAAGAUGUAGCUCCGAUACGACGUAUACGUGAAAACGAGAUUUAGCUGAACCAAAUCAGCUACUGAACUACAUAGUUGUCUACACAACCCGAGAAACAAUCGGUACAAAACGAGUUGAAAAAACUUCCUUUAACGGCGUAGCUUUGGUUUUAAAGGAAAACAACUACCGUGGCAUUCCAACAUAAUGAAACUAGUGUAAAUCAAACAUGUUUCGAAAGGAAAAAUACCGAACUUUGUACAGUGAUUUCCGUCAACUUACUUCUGUGAAUAAUCAUACGAAUCAUCGAUACUGAGCCAUCAACAGAGAGGAUAGGCCGCGAAUAAUGGGGGAGAGGAUAAUAUCGCGAAAACCAUGGCUUCAAGUACAGCUCACCGAUACGAAAACCAAAGUUUGAAGGAUAGCUCACCGAUACAAAACACCAGAAUACUUGCGUGAUUUUAACUAGCACGGAAUAUCACACUGCGGC
rnacentral:rRNA from 1 species